UGUAAGCGUAUACCAAAGUUGUUGCAGUUAAAACGCUCGUAGUCGGAAUUUGGCAGUUCCGGAAGUGUGCACGUCGUGUGCGCACUUUGCGGGGACUGCUUUUGUGGUCUUGCGUAGGAUGAGGCACUUUCAUUAGUGAACGUCCUCACGCAACCACUCUUUACUGUGAGAGAAUCAGAGUGCUCAAAGCAGGCAUUUGCCGUGAAUGUAUUAGCAUGGAAUAAUAGAAUAGGACUCGGUUCUAUUUUGUUGGUUUGUUGGGACUGAGUAAUGAUUAAGAGGGACAGUUGGGGGCAUUUGUAUUCCGGCGCUAGAGGUGAAAUUCUUAGAUUGCCGGAAGACAAACUGCUGCGAAAGCGUCUGCCAAGGAUGUUUUCAUUGA
rnacentral:rRNA from 1 species